CCUCCUCAGGCUUGAAGAGAUUUCAGGAGCGGUGACUCUCAUCUGCUCGAAGAUGAGCCCACUGUGGACCUUCCUCUUCGUGCUGUCAGCUCCCAGCGGGGUCCUGUCCCAGGUGCGGCUGCAGGAGUCAGGACCCAGCCUGGUGAAGCCCUCACAGACCCUCUCCCUCACCUGCGCUGUCUCUGGAUUCUCACUAAGCAGUUAUGGUGUAAGCUGGGUCCGCCAGGCUCCAGGGAAGGCGCUGGAGUGUGUUGGUGGAAUAAGUAGUGGUGGAAGCACAGGCUAUAACCCAGCCCUGAAAUCCCGGCUCAGCAUCACCAGCGACACCUCCAAGAGCCAAGUCUCCCUCUCACUGAGCAGCGUGACACCAGAGGACACGGCCGUCUAUUACUGUGCAAGAUGCACAGUGAGGGGAAGUCAGAGAGAGCCCAGACAGAAACCUCCCUGCAUGGGCGCCCAGGACCACCAGGGGGCGCUCAGGCCCACCACGUUCAGGACUGCUGAUCACCAGCACAGAUCCUCAGAGCUCAGCCACCUGGACUGCACCUGGACCUGCUAUGGGAGCUAUGGAGGCAACAUGGACACUCCUCUGACCCAGCCUCCUCGGAGACACAUCCAAGACCAGCUCUCCCUGCGGCUGAUGUCUGUAACCAGCGAGGACCCAGCCGUGUAUUACUGUGCAAGAGACAUCGUGGGGGGAGGAGCAGGUGCAGAUGGAGGUUAA